UGAACAACGAAGUCCUCGCGUCGUGCCA
rnacentral:sRNA from 1 species